rnacentral:rRNA from 1 species
CAGUAGCCGCGGGAAAACAGAGGGUGCGAGCGUUAAUCGGAUUUACUGGGCGUAAAGCGUGCGUAGGCGGCUUUUUAAGUCGGAUGUGAAAUCCCUGAGCUUAACUUAGGAAUUGCAUUCGAUACUGGGAAGCUAGAGUAUGGGAGAGGAUGGUAGAAUUCCAGGUGUAGCGGUGAAAUGCGUAGAGAUCUGGAGGAAUACCGAUGGCGAAGGCAGCCAUCUGGCCUAAUACUGACGCUGAGGUACGAAAGCAUGGGGAGCAAACAGGAUUAGAUACCCCGGUAGUCCCUGUCUCUUAUAC